UUGAAUUCCAAGAAAUUUAAGGACAACUUGAAGGAAACCUUGUACUUUUUAAAGAUAAUUUGAACGUUCAUGAAAGCUUAAUGAACAUAUGACAACAAAAGCUUAAAGAUUAAAACAUGAGUUCAAAACAAAUCCGUUUCCCAUAUCUUUAAGCCUAAAUGCUUGAAGCACCUAGACUCUUUUAAUCACUACAUAAGGGAGAAGAAGGUCCUUUAUAUCUUUGAAGCACUACCUUGAACAAACCUCAAGGUUUGAUCACCCAUGAAGGGCCUUCACUAAAAGAUUCUCCAAAAGAAAAACCACACAAAUGCAUGACCUCUAAUUUCAUACACACCAAAGUAGAGAGCAUGGAGAAGGAGAUGAGAACCUAGGGAGGUGUAGGUGCUAGCAUCACACUCCCUAGGUGGUUGGCCAUGGUAGAGGGGAGAAUCAGAGUGCCUCACUAGCCUCACUCAAUCCCCAAAACUCAAAACCUAAGUUGACUCAAGGCUUAGCAAUGUAUAUAGGCUAGGCAUUUUAAGAUGGGUCACCCAUGACCCAUGUGAGUCAUCAAAUGAGUCAAACCCAUUCCACUUCCCUUAUGGCCAAUUUUGGCUUAUUUAUUGGGUCUCUUGUGCUUCUUCAUUUAAGUUGUCAUCUACAACUCAUCUUAUAAGCCCAAUAGGCCUCUAAUAUUUAUAAUCCAAAACUUAUAGUCGAUAGAACUAUGAAUUCCUAGUUUAUAGGAAUAAGAGAACAAGAUGAAUUUUAAGACAAUCAGAGAAACAAAAGGAAGAAGAUUAGGAACUGUUUUGAG
rnacentral:lncRNA from 1 species